GAUGAACGCUGGCGGCGUGCCUAAUACAUGCAAGUCGAGCGAACAGAUGAGGAGCUUGCUCCUCUGACGUUAGCGGCGGACGGGUGAGUAACACGUGGAUAACCUACCUAUAAGACUGGGAUAACUUCGGGAAACCGGAGCUAAUACCGGAUAAUAUAUUGAACCGCAUGGUUCAAUAGUGAAAGACGGUUUUGCUGUCACUUAUAGAUGGAUCCGCGCCGCAUUAGCUAGUUGGUAAGGUAACGGCUUACCAAGGCAACGAUGCGUAGCCGACCUGAGAGGGUGAGCGGCCACACUGGAACGGAGACACGGUCCAGACUCCUACGGGAGGCAGCAGUAGGGAAUCUUCCGCAAUGGGCGAAAGCCUGACGGAGCAACGCCGCGUGAGUGAUGAAGGUCUUCGGAUCGUAAAACUCUGUUAUUAGGGAAGAACAAAUGUGUAAGUAACUAUGCACGUCUUGACGGUACCUAAUCAGAAAGCCACGGCUAACUACGUG
rnacentral:rRNA from 1 species